UUCCAGACUCCUACGGGAGGCAGCAGUGAGGAAUAUUGGUCAAUGGGCUUACGCCUGAACCAGCCAAGUCGCGUGAGGGAAGACGGUCCUAUGGAUUGUAAACCUCCUUUGCCGGGGAGCAAAAAGCGGUACGUGUACCGCAUCGAGAGUACCCGGAGAAAAAGCAUCGGCUAACUCCGUGCCAGCAGCCGCGGUAAUACGGAGGAUGCGAGCGUUAUCCGGAUUUAUUGGGUUUAAAGGGUGCGUAGGCGGGAUGCCAAGUCAGCGGUAAAAAUGCGGUGCUCAACGCCGUCGAGCCGUUGAAACUGGCGUUCUUGAGUGGGCGAGAAGUAUGCGGAAUGCGUGGUGUAGCGGUGAAAUGCAUAGAUAUCACGCAGAACUCCGAUUGCGAAGGCAGCAUACCGGCGCCCAACUGACGCUGAAGCACGAAAGCGUGGGUAUCGAACAGGAUUAGAUACCCCAGUA
rnacentral:rRNA from 1 species